UUCGCGUUCGCUUGCUUCUGUUCGUUAGCUUCCAUUAAUUGGUUCAAGCUCCCUUCGCCGAUAGGACAAGUAUUCGGGGUUUGACUACGAUUCUGAUCAUAUGCGGGACAGGGAUAUCCUCCGUAGGUCAGAUGUUCGUGUCCGAGGAGUGCAUUACUGUCAUAAAAGAGACUCGGUUGCUCGAUAAAAGCUGCUUGAAGCUCUUGAGGUGUCGGGAUCGGAUGCAGCCACUCCUGACUCAAACGAUGGGAGUAAUCCAAGAACGCCGCGUAGUUCUGCUGGGAAUCAAUCGUUCAAAAGGAGGUCUUCAUCAGGUGCGGAAGACAUCGUAGGAGUUCCAAGGAUACUUUGAGUGGUCGGGGAAAAUGGAAAGACUGGACCAGGAAGAUAGGCUUCUGGGAUCGUCGUCUGGUAAGCAGAAAAUAUUCAAUUGAAAUGGUAUCUUUCGUUUCCUUUGGUUUUCUUCUAUAUAUAAACGUUUAUUUCCUGCAUAUCUCCCAAUAAUAAUUUUUCUAUUGGAAUUUAUCAUCAACAUUAUAUAAUAUAUGUAUAUAUAUAUAUUUAUAUAAUAUGUAGGAGAAGAUUCGACGACACAGUUGUAAUUAAUAUUAUAUGUAUGUAGGUAUAAGUUUCAGUUGAUUGCAGGAUUUUUCCUUAUUCUUUUCCUUUUUCUUUUUCUUUUUUAAGCAAAAACAAAUCCAUCGCUUUAUUCAACAUAUGUUCAUUCCAACGUCCUCAAUAAUUUUAAUUAUUCUCCAAAUUUUUUUUUUUUUUCUUUAAAUUUUUUAAAAUACUUCAAUUAGCUAGUGUUCGAUAGAUUUGUUCUCGCAUAAAAUUAUAAUAUUUCACGCGGCGCGACAUAUGAAUUUAUACCUUUUAAAACGAUAAUAUUCAAUAGAUUCAAUGCGAUAUUAUAAAACAUUCAUUAUUUAGAUGUAUAAUAUUUCGUAGCGCGGAUGCGAAAUAUUUUAAUCGUUUAGAAACAUAACGAUGAUUUAAUAAUAAUAAUAAUAAUUGAUUGGAAGUGCUGUUUUCCUAAUGUUCUUUGGUAUUCUUUUUCUUCAAAUUAGUUUCUAUUCGUUUUUCUCGAUUUUCUCCUUUUUAUUUUUAGUUGUAAUCAUCCUCUCUAUAUCAAUCUGUACUAUUUGAUUCUAUCAUAAAUUACAUAUUUCGGGAAAUAGAUAAAUUGUCAUAUACAUAUUAUAUGCGUUAAUAUGUUUAUGCAUUUACAUCAUCUGUAACCCCGAGUACCACAUAAAUACAAGUAUAGGUAUACGUAAAAUGCGUUAUAAAUCGUUCG
rnacentral:misc_RNA from 1 species